ensembl:misc_RNA Metazoa_SRP Metazoan signal recognition particle RNA
GCCUGGCAUGGUGGCACGUGUCUGUAGUCUCAGCUACUUGGGAGGCUGAGACAAGAGGAUCACUUGAGUCCAGGAAUUCUAGGCUGCAGUGAGCUAUGGUUGCACCACUGCACUCCAGCCUGGGUGACAGAGUGAGACCCUGUCUCUU